CCUACGGGUGGCAGCAGUGAGGAAUAUUGGUCAAUGGGCGUAAGCCUGAACCAGCCAAGUCGCGUGAGGGAUGAAGGUUCUAUGGAUCGUAAACCUCUUUUAUAAGGGAAUAAAGUGUGGGACGUGUCCUAUUUUGUAUGUACCUUAUGAAUAAGGAUCGGCUAACUCCGUGCCAGCAGCCGCGGUAAUACGGAGGAUCCGAGCGUUAUCCGGAUUUAUUGGGUUUAAAGGGUGCGUAGGCGGCCUUUUAAGUCAGCGGUGAAAGUCCGGGGCUCAACCAUAGGAGUGCCGUUGAAACUGGGGGGCUUGAGUAGGUGUGAGGCAGGCGGAAGGCGUGGUGUAGCGGUGAAAUGCUUAGAUAUCACGCAGAACCCCGAUUGCGAAGGCAGCAUGCCAGGCGAUGACUGACGCUGAUGCACGAAAGCGUGGGUAUCGAACAGGAUUAGAUACCCUUGUAGUC
rnacentral:rRNA from 1 species